rnacentral:rRNA from 1 species
UGGGGAAUAUUGGACAAUGGAGGAAACUCUGAUCCAGCAAUUCUGUGUGUGUGAAGAAGGUUUUAGGACUGUAAAACACUUUUAGUAGGGAAGAAAAAAAUGACGGUACCUACAGAAGAAGCAACGGCUAAAUACGUGCCAGCAGCCGCGGUAAUACGUAUGUUGCGAGCGUUAUCCGGAAUUAUUGGGCUUAAAGGGCAUCUAGGCGGUAAGACAAGUUGAAGGUGAAAACCUGUGGCUCAACCAUAGGCUUGCCUACAAAACUGUUGAACUAGAGUACUGGAAAGGUGGGUGGAACUACACGAGUAGAGGUGAAAUUCGUGGAAAUGUGUAGGAAGGCCGAUGAUGAAGAUAACGCACUGGUCAGAAACUAACGCUGAAAUGCGAAAGCUAGGGGAGCAAACAGG